rnacentral:lncRNA from 1 species
GGCCGCGCGCAGGGCUCCCCGGCCCCGGCCCCGGGCGGCUCAGGCUCCGAGGCGACUCCGCUUCGCGCCGCGCCGGCCCCCUGCCCAGCCCGCGCGCAUGGCCCGGGCAGCCCCGACCCCGGCCCCCGGCGGGCGGCACAUCGGCCUGACACUUGCCUCCCUCCCGCCCUGCCCCCGCCGCUUAUAAGGCCCGGAGCCACCUCCCCUCCCUCCCCGCUCGCCCGCCCGCCCCUCCGCCAGCGCCUCCCAGCGCCCGGCCGAGCCCGUCCUCGGCGCCGCCCCCUCCGGCCGCCCGGGCCGGCCUUCCCCGCUGACUGACAGCGGGACCUCCUCCCGCGGCCAGCCGGGCCUGGGAAGCGGCGCGGAGGCGGCUCCGGCCCUGCCCAGCGCGCGGCCCCCGGAGCUCAGGCCGGGGAGCGGGGGAGGGGGCGGCGUGCACGGGUUCCAAGCCCGAGGCGAGGCGGGAUAACGGGACCCGGAGGCCGAAAGCGGAGCUGGCCGGCAGGGUGCGGGGAGUUGGAGGGGCGAGGCCGGCGGGUAACGGGCUCCUAGGGACCAGCCGCCAAGGCCUGGGUGCAGAGGUCACACGGGGUGCACAGCUGCCUCCUGGUGUGUGUGUGGGGGUGUGUGUGUGGGGGGAGGCUCGCGGCUUUGGGGCUGGGCGCUGGGGAGGGCGUAGGGGUUCCGCCUUCUUCGGGUGAGGCUGCUCGGGGACAGCCCGGGUUCUGGGUGUGGUGAAGGGCGGCGGUUUGGGGAGGUGGCCCGGCACUUGCGAGAGCGCGAGGGGUGGGGACUGUGGUCUCCGAGUUAAUCAUGAGGUUUCCGAGAGGUUCGGUUCAACCUGCCUUCUCCCAGGACUUUUGCCUUGUCCCCGAAUCGCCACAUUUAGACAGACGAGCUCCACCCCCAUCCCGGAGAUCCCCGAUCUCUGACCCGCCAGUAGGGGAUUUGGAACCGUAUGCGGCGAGUGCAUUGGUGUCCACGCAGGUCCACGGCCUCGAUUUUCCUCUACAACCAGACUGUUGUCCUGAGUGUCCUCAGAAAAGUCCAGCCCAUUCUGACUUCUGUGUCCUUGCAUAGGUCACUUACCCGCAGGGCCUGGGAACACCUUCCUCUAGUCUGUCUGCCAACUCUCCAGACUGUAGGACCCAGCUUGUCCCCCGUUCCCAUCCUCAGAACUGUCCUAGGAGGUUGUCUCAUGGGAUGAUCUCUCCAUAUUCCUAUUGCUUGUGUUAACAGGACUGACUUAGUCUCUCAG